rnacentral:lncRNA from 1 species
GGUAUAGGGCAGGAUACUCUCUGGAAUGAGGGUUUUCUGAUCUACAGUCCAAAAAGAUUUGUCUAAUAUAGAUACUUCCGUGAGCAGCCCAAGCCCCUCUUCACUGACAAGUUCUACCUCACCUUAACCGAGGGCAUUGCUCUUUCAGACAGACCACCUUGCAAAGGACAGCUGCAUACUCAACCUGCCGCUGUUUCUCCUGGAGGCCAACCUGGUGACCUUCCUCUUCCCUCUGGACCGCCUGAGAAGGGCGGCAGAAAAGGAGAUGGUGACAAGAUGCCUCUGCACAACCUCGCCAUGGUUUUGGCCCCAUGAUGCUCUGGCUUUCUAGUCUUCAUUGCUUUGUCUCCAACUCAAGCAUAGUUUUUGUUUGUUUGUUUGUUUGUUUUACUCAUUCUUGAGAGGAAGCCAUUAGCUUUCUUUGGAUGCUUUGUCAUUUAUCUUAUGUGACUACACCAGUUAAUCAAAGGAUCACUUGCUGCUCUUCUUCCACUAAAACAACACCCACUUCAUGCUCAUUGUCUAAAGUGGGGGCAUCAUUUGUAACUACAGAUACUAAUUGUGGGGAUCCCAGGUUUAUUAUGUGGGAGAGACUGAGACUCCCCUCAUCUGUCCCCUGAGGAGGGUUCAUAGGUGAGUGAGAAAGGGACAAGGCAGCGAUGUGGACAUCUCCCCACAUUGCCCAAGGGGCAUUGCUUCCUAGUGAGGAAACUCUCGCUGCAGUUUUCUGGCAGGGAAAUAAUACAAUCUCCAGAUCAUUUAUCAAUUUUGUUUUUUUUAAAUAAAUAUUUUGCCAUUAUUAGAUGAGUAUAUAAAAAAUAAAUAAUAUGGAUUUAUCUUGCAGUGUACCAUUUAACUCCAUCCCAAAAUAGAUCUAUUAUCUUCUCUUUUGUUCAAUGAAUACUAUUCAUACCUAGGCAAAACUGUUGCUGUUACUCAUGAUUUAAGGGCAUUAGGAAUACAACUCUAGGGAAAAAAUACUGCUAUUGGAAACCAAAAAGAGUGUCUGGGACAGGUGUCAAUCUAUUUAGAGGUUUUUUUCACCAAGGUUGAGGAUGCACCCGGGAAAAAGAGACACAAGCCACAGUGGAAUCUGUGGCCUGCACUUUUUCCAAAGAGUUUUGAGGGUUUCAAUAUUUAUAGGGGAAAAAGCAGGCCAAAGGGAAAGGAAAGAAGACAAAAAGGGGAGAGUAGAAAAAAUGAGACAAGUGGUCUCAUUGUCUUGAGGCUUUCAUUAGUUCUCACUGAAGCCACAGGUUGCCCAUGAAAAGGAGGGGGUAGAGGAACAGCUGAUUAUGUGCUCGCCUGGCACUGGUAAGGCUGCACCUCACAUGAGAUAAAGCAAACAUAGAGUAGAGGAAGCAUCAACAUGCAUUUGUCUUGGGGUGGUGGUAGGAAUAUUUCUAGUUUCCUUUUGUCCUGUAUCCCUGAAGAUAAGUUGCUAAUUUACAUGGUCAGGGUGAGGGAGGUAACCUGGAAAGAUAUGUUUAGGAACAAAAGGAAAGAUGGUUUCUGGGUGUGACUCAGUUUCCAAGUUUAACUUUCCCUUUUGGCAUAGCGAGUUUGGGGUCCCAACAUUUUAUUUUCCUUUUACACUAUUGACUACUAACAGUCUUUGUUGUUAAAUUCCAUCUGUUUUAAAAUUUUAAUAAAAUAUUUAUAUCAUAAAAUAUAAAUUAUUCACUUAUAAGAUUAAUAUAAAUAAUAUUAACAAAACAUUGUCUUGAAAAAUGUAGUUUGACAAAGUUUCAAUCUGAGUAAAAGAUAGUAUCUUAAAUACAGUAUUUUUUCACUGCUGGUGAGAGAGAAUCUAAACUUUCUGUGAAGACUAAGAAAGUCUCACAUUCUUGGUGCACGCCAGGAAGCCCCGUGUUCCUUGGAUGUGGAGGAGUUGAACAUGAAGGAGCUGGCUGUGAUGUCAGCAUGUGAAGGUGGAGGAACUCCAGCCCAGGAGGGGCUCCUGGAUCCACCCGCCCCAGAUGGACUCGAGGUGGGGAAGGCAGCCUGGAGGCUUGGGAGGCCUGAGUAGAGAGGAGGGAACAGCGCUCCCUUAAGACCCAGGCCCACUCCCAGGGAAGGGAGCAGCAGGGCCACACUCUUGGCCACCUUGGAAGAGCUCCUUGCUGUGGGCUGAUUCCCACGACCUUGUCUAGGGAUUCCAGCAUUUUAGGUAGCUCCUCCAUUGCCUUCGUUGGUUAGAGCAUUUGGAACUUUUCUUUUUCACUUCUCGAACCAAAGAAGUUAAUUCCUUCAUCGAUACCAAGUUGGCACUCUUCACCUUUUUGUAAGCAUCUGCAAGGCUGGGAAUAUUUAAAGACUCCUUCUUUAGCCAGGCAUUCUCUAGUGCUGCCUCCAUCUCUGCAUACUCCUUUUUCAAAACACCAAGCUUCUAAAUGAAUUGAUUUUUUUCUCACAUUCUGCAGCCUGUGUUUUGUGAGUCACUUUUCAUGUCUUACAUAAAGUCAGCUUCUAACAGAUUCAACAAGUCUGAACAAAAAUAAAAGACCUACCAAGAAGCUGAUGAGACCAGUGUCUCCCCUGAUGGCUUUGGAAAGUGAGUUGUGGACUGAAGCCAUUGGGCAGCAUCUUAUAUAUCACCUCACACAUUUCGUAAAUAUCAGCCCCAAACGAAGUUUCACAGAAGAUCCCGGCCCCUCCAUCCCUGCAACCAUGGAUUCUGCACCACAACAAACCCUGGGGAACACCUCAGCAUUCCACCUGGAAUCAACCAGGAACAGGCAGCCUAUACUAGUCAGUUUCAUGGUCACCAUCAAGGAGGAUUAGUAAAUAAACAUGCUUGUCUCCUUACUGUCUAGUAAUCAGUCUUCUUUACCUGUUUCUUAUUGUAUGUGUAUCAACAGACAAUUAAAAUAUAGUGAAAGGUGCCAAUCUUAAGUGUAUAGCUUGAAUAAGCCUUUAAAAUGUUAUACCCCCACUGCGUCCUGCAACCCUAUCAAGGUAUGAGUCCUGUGUAUCAACACAGAAAUCCCCCCCAGUUCCUUUCCAAUCAGUGUCCACUCGCCCUGACUCACGCAGCCUUGGAGAAGGUUGCUCUGAACACAUCCCAGUUGAGCCUCAGCAUCAAGGUCAUGGAAUCAAUUACAAUGUGCUUUCUGAUCUCUGCCUGCUUUGCUCAAAGUGUUUUUGAAACUUAUCUGUUCU